CCCGAGCGGCUCACGUACGGGGCCCGUCCACGUCCGCCUCGGCGGCUGGAUGCAUGGGCCCGCGAUGGACGGCCGGGGAUCGGAGGGCCAUG
rnacentral:ncRNA from 1 species